CCUACGGGAGGCAGCAGUGGGGGAUAUUGCACAAUGGGGGGAACCCUGAUGCAGCGACGCCGCGUGGGUGAAGGAGCGUUUCGGCGCGUAAAGCCCUAUCGGCAGGGAAGAAGGAGGACGGUACCUGACCAAGAAGCCCCGGCUAACUACGUGCCCGCAGCCGCGGUAAUACGCAGGGGGCAAGCGUUAUCCGGAGUUACUGGGUGUAAAGGGGUCGCCGACGGCAGCGCAAGCCAGGAGUGAAAGCCCGGGGCCCAACCCCGGGACCGCCCUUGGAACGGCGCGGUUGGAGUGCAGGAGGGGCAGGCGGAAUUCCUGGGGGAGCGGUGAAAUGCGUAGAUAUCAGGAGGAACACCGGUGGCGAAGGCGGCCUGCUGGACUGCGACUGACGUUGAGGCCCGAAAGCGUGGGGAGCAAACAGGAUUAGAUACCCGUGUAGUC
rnacentral:rRNA from 1 species